UACGAGGGGGGCAAGCGUUGUUCGGAAUUAUUGGGCGUAAAGGGUGCGUAGGCGGUCUGAUAAGUCAUCUGUGAAAUCUAUGGGCUCAACCCAUAGUCUGCAGGCGAAACUGUCGGGCUUGAGUAUGGGAGAGGUGAGUGGAAUUUCCGGGUGUAGCGGUGAAAUGCGUAGAUAUCGGGAGGAACACCUGUGGCGAAAGCGGCGCACUGGACCAUAACUGACGCUGAGGCGCGAAAGCUAGGGGGAGCAAACAGG
rnacentral:rRNA from 1 species